rnacentral:rRNA from 1 species
ACUCAAAUGAAUUGACGGGGGCCCGCACAAGCGGCGGAGCAUGUGGCUUAAUUCGAUGCAACGCGAAGAACCUUACCUGGGUUUGACAUGCAGGGAAAUCUCGUAGAGAUACGGGGUCCUUUUGGGCCUUGCACAGGUGGUGCAUGGCUGUCGUCAGCUCGUGUCGUGAGAUGUUGGGUUAAGUCCCGCAACGAGCGCAACCCUCGUCCUAUGUUGCCAGCGAGUAAUGUCGGGGACUCAUAGGAGACUGCCGGGGUCAACUCGGAGGAAGGUGGGGAUGACGUCAAGUCAUCAUGCCCCUUAUAUCCAGGGCUGCACACAUGCUACAAUGGCCGGUACAAAGAGCUGCGAUACCGCAAGGUGGAGCGAAUCUCAUAAAGCCGGUCUCAGUUCGGAUUGGGGUCUGCAACUCGACCCCAUGAAGUCGGAGUCGCUAGUAAUCGCAGAUCAGCAACGCUGCGGUGAAUACGUUCCCGGGCCUUGUACACACCGCCCGU